rnacentral:rRNA from 1 species
UACGGGGGGGGCUAGCGUUGUUCGGAAUUACUGGGCGUAAAAGGGCGCGUAGGCGGUCUGCUAAGUUGGAUGUGAAAACUCUGGGCUUAACCCAGAGCCUGCAUUCAAUACUGACAGGCUAGAGUUCUGGAGGGGAUAGCGGAAUUCCUGGUGUAGCGGUGAAAUGCGUAGAUAUCAGGAGGAACACCGGUGGCGAAGGCGGCUAUCUGGACAGAGUCUGGACGCUGAGGCGCGAAAGCUAGGGGAGCAAACAGG